GACUAGUCCAUCAGAUAAACUUCUUAGCAGCUGACUGACUUUAUGGGGGAAGAAUGCAAAAGAGAGCUGAUCAAAGAGGGUGACAUACAGAUGCAUCUCCUAGUCCUGGAAUGGCUCAGACCCCUUCUGAUCCAGCAGGUACCAAGUUUCUGCUUCCAUUUCUUCCACGGUCUUCAUCCUUCCACAGCCAUCAUGUGAGCAAACACAGAGUGCAGGUUAGCUUGAAGUUCAGCGCUGCCUGCUCUGCAGAAAUGUUCCAAGCUGACCUGUCCCUCUCUCUCAACAAUGUCAUCUCACAGAUAAAUCAGAGCCUAAGAAUCAGAAGAAAAAGCAACUCCAGAACUUGGCAUUUUCUCAGCUUAUCACAGGAUGUUUGUCUCCAACAACAUCUGAGACGUCCUUUGGUGGUCUCUUAAAGGAAAACAGCAUGCGGCUGUAAAGAAUAAUGUUGGCAAUAAUGAAUAAGGAGGAGGACAUAAACUAUUUUGUAAUUUUAUGUUUUUUUCCACUUGGCUGUAAGUGCUCAUGGAAUAAACGGGUAUCAUUUCAAUGGUUGGAAGGCUUUCCUUACCACACUGCUGUCUCCCUGCAGCCUUCUCAGGAGGAUGGAAUCUCCUUUGUGCCAAUUAAAGAAUUAAGGAAGACACAGGCACCGCAUUUCUAGAGUCCUGCAGAGCAAGUCUGCUAGCCGUGAACCUGAAGGCAGUGCAGACAGCCCCCAGGGGUCUGCUGGAGCUGUUGUUCCAGCCAGUAUGAAGAUAUUUGUUGAGAAACUGCAAGUUCAAAUGGCAUUUAAGCAGGUGCAUCUCCCAUAGCAACCACUGAGGGCCCUGUAAUGUGCCUCUGAAACCCAUAGCUGACCUCAAAACACCCAGGGCUUCUGGUUAUUGCUGCACUGGAUAUGGCAGCACCCAGGCACAGCUGCAGAGCUGAGGUGCAAGAGACAAAAUCAAUGAUACUUUUUCUGCCCAACAUCGUUUCAUCAUCCAAAUUGGGUCUCACAUAAACACAAAAUCUGGAUGGGCAGGCAAGGUCUAAAUCUGGCUCCAGUAGUAACAGGUGCUCCUUAUAAGAUGGCCACACUGGGUUUGCUGCCUUUGAAUUUUGUGUUAGACUGUUGAAAUGUGAUUUUCCCAUCUUCCAGGAGAAACAUUAAGAGGAUAUAUUAAGGUUAGCUGCAAAUAAAGUUACAGAUCCAUUAUCUUUAAAUUCAAUGAAAUCAGUAUUAAUUGGGAACCAGUUCUGUUCCCUGCAUUGUGCUGGGUCUGUGGGGAGAUGAACAGAUUGGUGAAGAUGACCUCGGACAUGAGACAGGGUACAGAAGUCCAGAGGGUGUGACAAGAAUUGGGAGAGGCAUUGGGAAGCCCUCCUGCAGUAGGUAGUAUGGUAGGAGCAGGGACACGAGGAACACAAAGGACUUUGGUGAGUGGGAAAGGGAGCUCCCAAGCGAGACGGCUGACAACGUGAAAUGCUGCAGCUAGAGCCGUUCCUGGAAGUGGAAAGUGAGUUGAGAUUAGACCAAUAGUCUGGACCUGUUUGGUGGGAGGCUAUGAAAGCCUUUCUGGGAGUUUGGGUGUUUUCAUGGUGUCAUAGGGAACUAUUAAAAUUUCUUCUGCUUUUUGAAAUCAGCAUGGACUGAGUUUAUGUGGAGGGCUGACUUUUAGAAAUGGGAAUUUUGUUGUAUGCUUACACUUUCACAGAAAAUGCGACCUUUGAGGUCAGAAAGACUUGGCUUCAAAUCUGAAAUUUUGAACAUUUAAAGAGAAAUGAAACAACUCUAAGGACGGGGCUGUCCCUCCCCCCACCUCCUCUCUUCUCUGUGGAUAGACUUAACUUUCUGAGUUGUGCUUUUCUGCAGUUUGGUAAGAUAAUGCUUACCCCCUAUGAAGUUAUUAGGCACCUGACAUGAACUCAAUGAGCCCGGAAUCCAGUCAAUCAUUCCCAGGUACCAUGUCUACCUUGACCCUGUUCAUUUGCUAAAAAGUCAGUUUUUCACUCUACUCAUUCAAUUCCUUCCCUGCCUUUAAGUUGUCCUGGAUGGACUCAGGC
rnacentral:lncRNA from 9 species